UCUGGUGUAUCUGUGGGGAGGAAGGUGAUCUCCGCGUCUUACUCUUCCGCCAUCUUCAAGGUCCCCCCAUCUUAUUUUUACAUAUAAUGAUAAAUCUGAAUUUUCUCUAUCAAAGUUCCGAGACUUCACUGGCUUGUAACUUAGCUUGUUGAUUAUGUGUUGUUGACUUUUCCAUUUACAAUGAUAUUUGAUCCUGAUAAGGAUGGGGCUGGGUGGGAAGGUACAUCUUAGGGCCAUAAAUUGGUUUUGUAGAGAACUAACAUAAAGAUCUAAAGUCUCAUCAUAUUUCUGCAGAACUCAUGAAUCAUUUUAUUAUAAUUCCAUUCAUUCAGGGAGUAUAAAACCAUUUUCAAAUUGUUAUUGCUAAUUUGUUCAUCUUCUCUUCCUUAGUCUUAGUGAGAAGAGAGCAGGCUGAAUGGAAGAAAGUCAUUAUGACCACUGAGGCCACUAGGGGGUGUCCAGAGAAGGUAACUACUUUGCCCAUGUCCUAAACUGCCUAGCCCUGUGGUCUUGGGGUAAUCACUAACCUGCUUAGAUACAAUUUUCUUCUCUAUGAAAUAGAAACAAUAUUAUAUGCUUUGAAGGACUGCAGGAAGAUGAGCUGUAAUGUUUAUCAAGUGCCUAGUAAGUAGCCUGGCCCAUAAUAAAUACUUGGCUAAUUGUAGAUGUUAGUUUCAUUUUUAGUUUUAUUUCCAAACAUUGCUCUUUACUUUUGGAACUCUAAAAUUUGUUUUGAGAGUGGAGGACUUGUUGUUUGGAUUCCUCCAACACUCUCUGUAUAUUCUGUACUUCUAUCCCUACAUCAUUUAUAUUAAUGGAAUAAAUGAUCUUUGGUGUGGUGAUUCCAAGGUGACGAGGAGCUAAGUGGAGGUUCCGUAUACACCUGGAAGUAUGGAUUUUCAUGCCCAGUGCAAAUGUGGGAAAGGCAUUAUUCCUACAUUAUAAAUGGGGUAAAGACCUCCAACUUGAGGAGACUCUGGGUUGAGAGAUGAGAGAUCCUACAGGGUGCCACAGGGGCUUUUAUGUUCUGUAGCAAGACUUUGCACCUUAUACCCUUGUAGUUAGAAGUAAAGCAUACCACAUAACUAAUAUCUAGUAAGCAUUAGAGUUAGAAUAGCUACCAUUUAGUUAACGUUUCCUUUGUGUUAAGCAUUUUACAGUUACAACAUAUGGAUGGAUACUAUAUUGUAAUGGUUAAGAGUGUAGUUUUUUGAGCUAGAUAAUCCUGGAUUGGAAUCUCAUCUUUAUUACCUCUUUUUUUCCUGUUUUAUUGAGGUAUAAUUGACAAAAUUGUGAGAUAGUCAAAGAGUAUAUCAUGAUGAUUUGAUAUACAUAUGCAUUGCAAAAGGAUCCUUCCCAUCACGUUAAUUAAUACAUCUAACAGCUCAUGACACCUUUUUCCUUUUUUUCUUUUUUUGGUGAGAACACUUAAGUUCUAUUCUCUCAGAAAAUGUUAGUUAUACAAUACAGUAUUAUUGACUGUAGUAACUAUGUUAUACAGUAGAUCCUCAGACCUUAUUCAUCCUGCAG